AUUGAACGCUGGCGGCAGGCCUAACACAUGCAAGUCGAACGAGUGGCGGACGGGUGAGUACUGUCUGGGAAACUUCCUGGUGGAGGGGGAUAACGACUGGAAAGGGUAGCUAAUACCGCAUACCAUCAGAUGUGCCCAGAUGGGAUUAGCUUGUAGGUGGGGUAACGGCUCACCAAGGCGACGAUCCCUAGCUGGUCUGAGAGGAUGACCAGCCAAACUGGAACGGAGACACGGUCCAGACUCCUACGGGAGGCAGCAGUGGGGAAUAUUGCACAAUGGGCGCAAGCCUGAUGCAGCCAUGCCGCGUGUAUGAAGAAGGCCUUCGGGUUGUAAAGUACUUUCAGCGGGGAGGCGUUACCCGCAGAAGAAGCACCGGCUAACUCCGUGCCAGCAGCCGCGGUAAUAC
rnacentral:rRNA from 1 species